rnacentral:rRNA from 1 species
CAGCACCUCAAGUGGGUCAGGGAUGAUUAUUGGGCCUAAAGCAUCCGUAGCCUGCUUUGUUAGUUUUCGGUUAAAUCCAUACGCUUAACGUAUGGGCUGCCGGAAAUACUGCAAAGCUAGGGAGUGGGAGAGGUAGACGGUACUCGGUAGGAAGGGGUAAAAUCCUUUGAUCUAUUGAUGACCACCUGUGGCGAAGGCGGUCUACCAGAACACGUCCGACGGUGAGGGAUGAAAGCUGGGGGAGCAAACUGGAUUAGAUACCCGGGUAGUCCCAGCUGUAAACUAUGCAAACUCGGUGAUGCAUUGGCUUGAUGCCAAUGCAGUGCCGCAGGGAAGCCGUUAAGUUUGCCGCCUGGGAAGUACGUACGCAAAGUAUG